rnacentral:lncRNA from 1 species
CAGAGGGAGUAUCUUAGUAUUUUAACAAAUUCAAUAUAGAAAUAAAGAUACAUUUUUCUAUAAAAAAGUUACGAAAAGCAUAGACCUGUUAUAAAAGUUCAUCAAAAGUACAAAUCAUCUCAAAUAUAAUAAAAGUUAAUUGAUAUUCUAAGACCACCGAACCACCACUACUAUUGCUAGAACGAGCCGUUGAUGCACCGCUUUUGCCGUUCUCCUACUGGAGUCGGCUUGACCUUGUCGAUGACAACCAGAUAGUCUUCAUGCAUGUGCCCCUAAGAACCAGUGCCUUAGAGCCGGAGUUGUCGCCGUUGAACCCUUAUAUAGAUCUGAAGUACCUCACAUUAAAUCUCGUCACGUGACAAGAAAUCAUAACAUCGGCGACCUAAAAAGACCACCUAAAUCUACGCCGAAGUUUUAUCGACUAUGUCCAUACAUUUUUAUUAUCUAUUAAUGUGCAUCUAUGAGUAUCAUGAUAUUUCGAAUAUUAUGGAAUAAUAGAAAUUUACCUGCUUUCUAGUUUCAUCCACGAGGAGUUAGAUGAGAAGAAAUUCUCAUGUCAAAGAUGAAACUAAGAAUGAACCAUCGACAAUAAUCAAACAUUGUAGCUUAACUAAUUAAGGGCAUCUUCAAUGGCUUCCGUAACAAGGACACUAUUUGUCUGCGGACUCUUCUGUAGACACAUAUAUGUAAGCAGGCCCCCCAACUCCGUCCUCUAAACAUGUAUCCUUGUUUUUUUCUAAGUUGUCAACAAUCAAAAUAAUAACAUAUCAAACCUUAAAGGAGUGGAAAUAUUAAAAUACAUGGUAGUAACCAAGUGAAAACUUGAAAUAAAAUAGUUCAAACUUGAAUUCGACUCACAAAUUUGAGCACAUAGAUUCUCAAUCAGAUCUUUCUUAAUUUGUUCAUGAGUUAGUCAAUGUCGAAUUUAUUGAUGCAUUUGAACAAACUCAUUAAACAUGG